UACGUAGGGGGCUAGCGUUGUCCGGAAUCAUUGGGCGUAAAGAGCGUGUAGGCGGCUCGGUAAGUCCGCUGUGAAAGUCGGGGGCUCAACCCUCGAAUGCCGGUGGAUACUGUCGAGCUAGAGUGCGGAAGAGGCGAGUGGAAUUCCUGGUGUAGCGGUGAAAUGCGCAGAUAUCAGGAGGAACACCAAUUGCGAAGGCGGCUCUCUGGUCCACAACUGACGCUGAGGUGCGAAAGCUAGGGGAGCAAACGGG
rnacentral:rRNA from 1 species